rnacentral:rRNA from 1 species
UACGUAGGCAGCAAGCGUUGUUCGGAGUUACUGGGCGUAAAGGGUGCGUAGGCGGCCCUGUAAGUAUGGUGUGAAAUCUCCCGGCUUAACUGGGAGGGUGCGCUAUAGACUGCGGGGCUCGAGUGUGGGAGAGGAGAGUGGAAUUCCUGGUGUAGCGGUGAAAUGCGUAGAUAUCAGGAGGAACACCGGUGGUGUAAACGGCUUUCUGGACCAUAACUGACGCUGAGGCACGAAAGCGUGGGUAGCAAACAGG